UACGGGGGGGGCAAGCGUUGUUCGGAAUUAUUGGGCGUAAAGAGCUCGUAGGCGGUCAGUCGCGUCUGCUGUGAAAACUCGGGGCUUAACCCCGGGCCUGCAGUGGGUACGGGCUGACUAGAGUGCGGUAGGGGAGACUGGAAUUCCUGGUGUAGCGGUGAAAUGCGCAGAUAUCAGGAGGAACACCGGUGGCGAAGGCGGGUCGCUGGGCCGUAACUGACGCUGAGGAGCGAAAGCCAGGGGAGCAAACGGG
rnacentral:rRNA from 1 species